rnacentral:tRNA from 1 species
GUUGUAGCUCAGUGGGUAGAGCAUCUGCUUUGCAUGCAGAAGGUCCCAGGUUCGAUCCCUGGCAUCUCCA